rnacentral:rRNA from 1 species
AGGACGAACGCUGGCGGCGUGCUUAACACAUGCAAGUCGAGCGGAAAGGCCCUUCGGGGUACUCGAGCGGCGAACGGGUGAGUAACACGUGAGUAAUCUGCCCCUAGCUCUGGGAUAGCUCCGGGAAACCGGGAUUAAUACCGGAUACGACCACCUUAGACAUCUUUUGUGGUGGAAAGAAUUUCGGCUAGGGAUGAGCUCGCGGCCUAUCAGCUUGUUGGUGGGGUAACGGCCUACCAAGGCGACGACGGGUAGCCGGCCUGAGAGGGCGACCGGCCACACUGGGACUGAGACACGGCCCAGACUCCUACGGGAGGCAGCAGUGGGGAAUAUUGCGCAAUGGGCGAAAGCCUGACGCAGCGACGCCGCGUGGGGGAUGAAGGCCUUCGGGUUGUAAACCCCUUUCAGCAGGGACGAAGCGAAAGUGACGGUACCUGCGAGAAGAAGCGCCGGCUAACUACGCGCCAGCACGCCGC